rnacentral:misc_RNA from 1 species
GAAAUGCGAUAAGUAGUGUGAAUUGCAGAAUUCAGUGAAUCAUCGAAUCUUUGAACGCACAUUGCGCCCCUUGGUAUUCCAUGGGGCAUGCCUGUUCGAGCGUCAUUUGUACCUUCAAGCUCUGCUUGGUGUUGGGUGUUUGUCUCGCCUCUGCGCGCAGACUCGCCUCAAAACAAUUGGCAGCCGGCGUAUUGAUUUCGGAGCGCAGUACAUCUCGCGCUUUGCACUCAGAACGACGACGUCCAAAAGUACAUUUUUUACACUCUUGACCUCGGAUCAGGUAGGGAUACCCGCUGAACUUAAGC